UGAGUAUUUUAUAAACUUCAUUUAGAUACUUCAGGAGACACUUAGCAUUUUUUUAAAAAAAGAAAGAAAAUUGUUUUUCUACUUCAUUUUCUUUUGAGGGUCAGAGGAUAUUUAUUUAUAGGCCUUUUUGAUAGAAUCUGAGGCUGUCUGUGUCUUUGGCGUCACUCUCUCUCCGGCCUCUCUUGACCAGGUCAGUUUCUCUCCUGUCUGGGCCACCCCGAGCAGCAGCCCAGAACCGCUGUUUCCGAUCCUCAAUCCUUUUUAAUCCCCCUCUUUUUUUACAAAUGUUACCAGCUUGGUAUUUCUGUUUUACUAUGAUGUCAUCUACUUCACCGUAGCGUCGACGCCAGUGGAAGCGUUGACUGUGGGGGGCGUGAGUGAGGACAGAGGACUGGGCCCGCUCAUUUGUUGUGUGGGGGGCUGUGCGCCCGGGGCAGGCGUGCGGGCCCUGCUCGGGGUGACCGUCUCCCCUUGGCUCCGGCUCCAUGGUGAGCAGGACGAAGGAGCCGCCCCUGCAGGCAAAUGAGCCGUGUGGGCAGAAAUGGCGUGGAGAGUAGCGAGAGCAGGUGACGGCCUCGUGCAGGUAGAUGCCCCUCCUGUUACCGUGACAAGGGUGGCGUGGGCUCUGGCAGAGAAGAACCCGGGCCCCUCCCCGAGUCAGGUGAGGAGAGGGUGUCGCCUCUGCUCUUCCCGCAGCCGCCCUGAUGCGUCUCCUCAGGACACGACUGGGACCUGUCCUUAAAGCACAGUCAUGACCGCAGACUCCAGUCUGUGCCCUGAAGCAAGGCCUCGGGGUUCCUUUGGGGAAAUCAUGUUUUGUUUUCAUCUCUAAAAUGAAUGUUACAUUAGGGGCUUGAAAGUGACCACCAGGGCCAGAAGCACAGGGAAAAACAUGUUUACUAACUUCCUGAGGCGCCACGGGCACUUCUGCCGCGAGACGUCAGGACUCCCCUCGACUCCCGCCAGCGGUGGCCUCCACCUCGUUCCAGCUGCUCACUGCCAGCCAGGACGCCACAGGGCCGGGGUGCGCCGAGGCCCCGGGCCGGGCGUGCGGCUUGUCAGACACAGCAGAGUCUCAGAUGCAGCCUUGGUAGCUGACGGUAAUUGAUUUUAUAAUCAUGAAACGCAUAGAGGUUCAUUUUUAAAAGAGGAAAACCCACCCAUGACCAGUGAAGGAGGUGAACAAACUAAGAUGUUCUGAGGGAAGGGGCCCGAGCCUGGGGCCUCCGUCCUUCAUGUCUGUGGAUGAAGGGUUUUUGGAAUGAAGUGCCGCUGUGCAUUUUCAGGAAAAAAAUCCCUGAGAAGCAGACUUGGAAUGGAUGUUUGCUCCUCCGGAUCCACUUCCCCUGUCGUAGUGACCGAAUGGCAUUCAGAACUGUGAGUGUACAUAGUGUCAGGACUUCCUCCCUUCCGUGUGAGACAAGGACGGAGCGGGAGGGCAGCCCCGGCCCUGCUGCCUGCGGGGGCCCUGCCGGGUCGCGGGGGCCCUGCUGGAAAGGGUGCCAUGGAAAGAACUUCGGAUUUUCAGUGGAAUGAAUAAAACAAAGUCCUAUGUACUUGAA